rnacentral:sRNA from 1 species
UCUCGAAGGACCAAUAUUACAGACGGCC